AGGAAUUUAGAAAGGAAGCUUUCCUUUGAAUAAUUUUUAAGUUGGAGUUUCAAAGAGUAUAUCCUUAACUAGGCUCAAAGAUGUGAGGGCUUAAAGCCUCCAAGGGGGUCCUUGCACACAGAAAAGGAGCUUUAAAAAUCCAGUUUCAUUUCUUUAGUUUCAUGUACUUUUCAGGCCAAGAAAGCAGAGGCAAACAUAUAUUUAUGUAUAUAUUAUUAUAUAUAAAGACUUAUUUUAUUUGAGAGAGAGUAGGGGCAAGGGGAGAGGAAGAGGUAGACUCCUCACUGAGUGCAGAGCCUGAUGAGGGGCUCCGAUCUCACAAACUUGAGAUCGUGACCUGAAUGGAAACAGAGAGUCCGAUGCUUAAUCGACUGAGCCACCCAACACCUAGUCUUUUUUAAAUAUAUGUUUGCCUCUGCUCUCCUAGCAUAACCUCUCUGGAAGUUCGUGAGUUUCAAAACCUGUAUGUCUGUACGUAGAAAAGAAGACUACCAGAUAAAUGCUGAGAAAUUUAGCAGAGGUUUUAGAAUUACUGGUAUUUUUUUGUGAUUUGCCUAUUUAUUUCCCAAGCAAAUAUGUGUUAUUUUAUUCAUCACUAUAUUAUUAAAUAUAGUGACUAUAAAACAAAACUUUGUAUCAUUUUUUGUUUCAGAUUCUCCUGCCUAGGUCCUACUUCUGGGUAUAAAGGACCUGUCCAAAGAUGUUUCUUAGGUUUGUUUUCCACUGCAGUCUAUGGUAGCCUACAAUUAGGAGGACUCGGCUGUAGUUAGCAUAUCAUGAUCAGUAGCUUCAUGGAUUUUGAUUGAAAGUGGCUGGACUACAAACCUAUCUUUGGGUAUAUGUAGGACUGCUAAAAUUAAGCACCAACUCCCAGCUACUGAUAUGAGGAUUAAGUGGGUUGAGUAUGAGUUUCCCUUUGUUGAAGGUAAGUGUGCCCAUUCCUUUACUAGGAAACCACUGCAGAUGCGUUUAUGCAAGAUAACUCCCUCUAGAAAAAUCAUUGUCAAGGACUGGGAAUAAAACGUUGGAGAACUGCUCUUAAUAGGAGCAGAAGGACAUCCUAGGGACAUCUGGUGGUAGAGGCUUGUUCAAAAGCCAUAUAAAAUAAGAUUAGGACUUUUGGGAGAAAUAGAUUGCCGUAAAGCACACUAAUGUAGACAAUUCUGGGUGAUGGUCAAGCCCAGUGAACAGAUGUAGGCCUUGGCUUGCUUUGCCUAAUCACAAUAAACUUAAGGUUGUAACCCCUUCCUGUUCCCCUCCCCCAUUAAAUCAUCAAAGGGGAUGGGGACAAUACAGCUCAUUGGGAGGAUAAUUUACCCUCUUUUGUUUUAGUAUGAAUAUUUAGGCGUCGGUCCUUGCAUGUGAUUGCUUAAUGUCUCCAGAGUUGUUGAACUUGUUCUACUUGGUCUCAGCUCUUUGCCUGCAGAUACUCAAACAAUGUGUAUUCUUCUCUAGGAUCUACGUCCUUGCUAUUACCAAGUACUCAAAAAGCGAUCACUUCCUCCCUGUACCCGUAUAUGCACAGCUUUGUAAAGAGAAUGCUGGAGAGAUUGAUGUUUGGGAAUUAGCCAAUAGGAUGAAGAGUCCAAUCUUAAUUUUUCAAGGUAGAAAGUCAGCAGAUAUUUUCUUUUUUUCUUUCAUUAUAAAAACCUGGGGAAAUUUAUUUAUAUAAUCAUAUGUAUAGUUUGGUACACUAUUUCUUCUUCUUUUUUCUUUUUUUUUUUAGUUUCAGAAUUUAGUGAUACAUCAAUCUUAUAUAAUACCCAGUGCCCAUUACAUCACGUGCCCUUAGUACCCAUCACCCAGUUACUCUAUCCCCUCACCUACUUCCUCUCCAGCAACCCUCAGUUUGCUUCCUAGAAUUCAGCAUCUUUUAUGGUUUGCCUUCCUCUCAAUUUUCAUCUUAUUUUAUUUUUUUUCCCUUCCCUUAAGUUUAUCUGUUUUGUUUCUUAUAUUCUACAUAUGAGUGAAAUCAUCUGGUAUUUGUCUUUUUUGACUGACCUAUUUCUUUUAGCAUAAUACCCUGUAGUUCCAUCCAGAUUGUUGUAAAUGGCAAGAUUUCAUUAUUUUUGAUGGCUGAGUAAUAUUUGUGUGUGUGUGUGUGUGUGUGUGUGUGUGUGUGUGUGUACACAACAUCUUUUUUAUCCAUUCAUCUGUCUAUGGACAUCAGGGCUCUUUCCAUAGUUUAGCUAUUGUGGACAUUGCUGCAAUAAACGUUGGGGUACAGGUGCCCCUUCGAAUCACUAUGUUUGUUUCCUUUGGAAAAAUACCUACUAGUGCAAUUGCUGGGUCAUAGGGUAGCUCUAUUUUCAACUUUUUGAGGAACCUCCAUACUGUUUUCCAGAGUGGCUGCACCAGCUUGCAUUCCCACCAACGGUGUGGAAGGGUUCCCCUUUCUCCACAUCCUCACCAGCAUCUGUCAUUUCCUGACUUGUUGAUUUUAGCCAUUCUCACUGGUGUGAGGUGGUAUCUCAUUGUGCUUUUGAUUUAUAUUUGUAUUUGUAUUUUAUUUGUAUUUCCCUGAUGCUAAGUGAUGUUGAGCAUUUUUUUAUGUGUCUGUUCCCCAUUUGUGUAUCUUCUGAGCAUUUCUUGACUGGAUUUUUUCUUUUAUGGGAGUUGAGUUUGAUAAGUUCUUUAUACAUUUUGGAUACUAGCCCUUUAUCUGAUAAAACAUUUGCAAGUGGAAGAACUGUAAACAAAUCUUGGAAUUUUGCUAAAAGAUUGGUUUUUCACAGUGAUAUGGGUGCUACAAUUCUGAAGCUAUUGAAGGAUGGAGCAAAUUGGGCAAAUGAGUAAAUGAUGAUUCUCACUGUGAUGAGGGAGCAGAAGCCUGGCUGAGGACAAAGCUGGCACCUUACACCCCCUCUCCCCCCACCUCUGUGACAUGUGUGACAUCCCUCAGGCACUUCUACUGCUCUAAAAAGAAAAACGAAUAGUUAACUUGCAGAGAUCACAAUCCUGCAAGACGGGAGUCUCCCUUGGUUUACAAAUGUCCUAGUGAUUUACAACAAAGAAGCUAUCUUAUUGAUAGCCCAACUUCCAGAGAUAAGCAACUCAGUUCCUAAAGCCCUAACAUCGGCCUCCCCUCCAUAAAACUGAAAGAGGCUGAGGCCGAAGGAAAUGUAAAUAAAGUUAAAUUUCUUCUAAACCUAAAGAUCAUUGACAAGGAUGUGGGAUAGGAGGAAUGUGACAUUGCACCAGGAAACUCCCAACUGUCUUCAUGUUAUUGCCUCAUUAGAGGGAAAAACAGCUUUGGCUUGACAAUAACCAGGCCUUCAGUAUCUUGACAGUCUUCUUUACCGUGACAGCCCUUCUGAACAACCCCUUUGUCCUCACCUACCCAACUCCUGUGUAUACAAUCAGCCACUCCUCAGGAUAUCAGGGCAGCAGCUCUUCUUACCCACGGGUCCUGUCCCCGUACUUUAAUAAACCACCAUUUUACACCAAA